rnacentral:other from 1 species
GUUGCACUACGACGUUGGUGACUGCCUACAAGUUUUUUGAUCUAUGCCUUUAAUGACAAGGGAGCCAAAAAUUUCUCGUGGCAGUAUACCGGGCAUGUACCCGGAAACUUUAAACGAGAUACAUCAGUUCCCACCUGGUUUAACCAGGUCAUAAACUUCGGCAAGACGGCGUCGCGGUGAACUC